rnacentral:rRNA from 1 species
ACGUAGGUGGCAAGCGUUGUCCGGAUUUACUGGGUGUAAAGGGCGUGUAGGCGGAGCUGCAAGUCAGAUGUGAAAUCUCCGGGCUUAACCCGGAAACUGCAUUUGAAACUGUAGUCCUUGAGUAUCGGAGAGGCAAGCGGAAUUCCUAGUGUAGCGGUGAAAUGCGUAGAUAUUAGGAGGAACACCAGUGGCGAAGGCGGCUUGCUGGACGACAACUGACGCUGAGGCGCGAAAGCGUGGGGAGCAAACAG